rnacentral:rRNA from 1 species
GGUGUGUACAAGGCCCGGGAACGUAUUCACCGUGGCAUUCUGAUCCACGAUUACUAGCGAUUCCGACUUCACGGAGUCGAGUUGCAGACUCCGAUCCGGACUACGACGCACUUUUUGGGAUUCGCUCACUCUCGCAAGUUGGCCGCCCUCUGUAUGCGCCAUUGUAGCACGUGUGUAGCCCUACUCGUAAGGGCCAUGAUGACUUGACGUCGUCCCCACCUUCCUCCGGUUUAUCACCGGCAGUCUCCCUGGAGUUCCCACCCGAAGUGCUGGCAAACAAGGAUAAGGGUUGCGCUCGUUGCGGGACUUAACCCAACAUUUCACAACACGAGCUGACGACAGCCAUGCAGCACCUGUCUCAGAGUUCCCGAAGGCACCAAUCCAUCUCUGGAAAGUUCUCUGGAUGUCAAGAGUAGGUAAGGUUCUUCGCGUUGCAUCGAAUUAAACCACAUGCUCCACCGCUUGUGCGGGCCCCCGUCAAUUCAUUUGAGUUUUAAUCUUGCGACCGUACUCCCCAGGCGGUCUACUUAACGCGUUAGCUCCGAAAGCCACGGCUCAAGGCCACAACCUCCAAGUAGACAUCGUUUACGGCGUGGACUACCAGGGUAUCUAAUCCUGUUUGCUCCC